rnacentral:rRNA from 1 species
AAGGAAUGGACGGGGGCCCGCACAAGCGGUGGAGCAUGUGGUUUAAUUGGACGCAACGCGCAGAACCUUACCAGCCCUUGACAUCCCGGUCGCGGAUUCCAGAGACGGAAUCCUUCAGUUCGGCUGGACCGGAGACAGGUGCUGCAUGGCUGUCGUCAGCUCGUGUCGUGGGAUGUUGGGUUAAGUCCCGCAACGAGCGCAACCCCCGUCCUUAGUUGCUACCAUUUAGUUGAGCACUCUAAGGAGACUGCCGGUGAUAAGCCGCGAGGAAGGUGGGGAUGACGUCAAGUCCUCAUGGCCCUUACGGGCUGGGCUACACACGUGCUACAAUGGCGGUGACAAUGGGACGCUAAGGGGCAACCCUUCGCAAAUCUCAAAAAGCCGUCUCAGUUCGGAUUGGGCUCUGCAACUCGAGCCCAUGAAGUUGGAAUCGCUAGUAAUCGUGGAUCAGCACGCCACGGUGAAUACGUUCCCGGGCCUUGUACACACCGCCCGUCAC